CACCACUCAAGCCUGGCUUGGUGUUGGGCGAGGGGCCUGCGCCCCCGCCCCCAAAUCGUCGGCUGGACGGUUCGAUUCUCAGCGUUGUGGUUUCAUCAAUUCGCUGCGGGAGACGACCGGACGCGCCGUUAAAACCCCUUCAUCACA
rnacentral:misc_RNA from 1 species